rnacentral:rRNA from 1 species
UACGGAGGGGGCGAGCGUUGUCCGAAGUUACUGGGCGUAAAGCGCGUGUAGGCGGGUUGUCAAGUCCGCUGUGAAAGCCCGAGGCUCAACUGGGCGGGGUCAGCGGAUACGGUGUGGCUCGAGCAAGCUAGGGGGCAAUGGAAUUCCCGGUGUAGUGGUGGAAUGCGUAGAUAUCGGGAGGAACACCAGUGGCGAAGGCGGUUGCCUGGAGCUUUGCUGACGCUGAGGCGCGAAAGCGUGGGGAGCGAUCCGG